rnacentral:rRNA from 1 species
UACGAGGGGGGGCGAGCGUUGUUCGGAAUUAUUGGGCGUAAAGGGUGCGUAGGCGGUUCCGCAAGUCCUGUGUGAAAUCUUCGGGCUCAACUCGAAGUCUGCACGGGAAACUGCGGGGCUUGAGUGUGGGAGAGGUGAGUGGAAUUCCCGGUGUAGCGGUGAAAUGCGUAGAGAUUAGGAGGAAUAUCGAUGGCGAAGGCAGCUUUCUGGGACAUUUCUGACGCUGAGAAACGAAAGCGUGGGGAGCGAACAGG